rnacentral:rRNA from 1 species
AUUGAACGCUGGCGGCAGGCCUAACACAUGCAAGUCGAACGAGUGGCGGACGGGUGAGUAAUGUCUGGGAAACUGCCCGAUGGAGGGGGAUAACUACUGGAAACGGUAGCUAAUACCGCAUACCAUCGGAUGUGCCCAGAUGGGAUUAGCUAGUAGGUGGGGUAAAGGCUCACCUAGGCGACGAUCCCUAGCUGGUCUGAGAGGAUGACCAGCCACACUGGAACUGAGACACGGCCCAGACUCCUACGGUAGGCAGCAGGGGGGAAUUUUGCACAAUGGGCGCAAUCCUGAUGCAGCCAGGCCGCGUGUAUGAAGAAGGCCUUCGGGUUGUAAAGUACUUUCAGCGAGGAGGCGUUACUCGCAGAAGAAGCACCGGCUAACUCCGUGCCAGCAGCCGCGGUAAUUC